UAGGGAAUCUUCGGCAAUGGGACGGAAGUCUGACCGAGCAACGCCGCGUGAGUGAAGAAGGUUUUCGGAUCGUAAAACUCUGUUGGUAGAGAAGAACGUUGGUGAGAGUGGAAAGCUCAUCAAGUGACGGUAACUACCCAGAAAGGGACGGCUAACUACGUGGCAG
rnacentral:rRNA from 1 species